rnacentral:rRNA from 1 species
GGCUGCGAUCAUACCAGCACUAAUGCACCGGAUCCCAUCAGAACUCCGCAGUUAUUUGGGCGAGAGUAGUACUAGGAUGGGUGAACCCCUGGGAAGUCCUCGUGUUGCAACCC